rnacentral:rRNA from 1 species
AACGCUGAAGAGAGGAGCUUGCUCUUCUUGGAUGAGUUGCGAACGGGUGAGUAACGCGUAGGUAACCUGCCUUGUAGCGGGGGAUAACUAUUGGAAACGAUAGCUAAUACCGCAUAACAAUGGAUGACACAUGUCAUUUAUUUGAAAGGGGCAAUUGCUCCACUACAAGAUGGACCUGCGUUGUAUUAGCUAGUAGGUGAGGUAAUGGCUCACCUAGGCGACGAUACAUAGCCGACCUGAGAGGGUGAUCGGCCACACUGGGACUGAGACACGGCCCAGACUCCUACGGGAGGCAGCAGUAGGGAAUCUUCGGCAAUGGGGGCAACCCUGACCGAGCAACGCCGCGUGAGUGAAGAAGGUUUUCGGAUCGUAAAGCUCUGUUGUAAGUCAAGAACGGGUGUGAGAGUGGAAAGUUCACACUGUGACGGUAGCUUACCAGAAAGGGACGGCUAACUACGUGCCAGCAGCCGCGGUAAUACGUAGGUCCCGAGCGUUGUCCGGAUUUAUUGGGCGUAAAGCGAGCGCAGGCGGUUUGAUAAGUCUGAAGUUAAAGGCUGUGGCUCAACCAUAGUUCGCUUUGGAAACUGUCAAACUUGAGUGCAGAAGGGGAGAGUGGAAUUCCAUGUGUAGCGGUGAAAUGCGUAGAUAUAUGGAGGAACACCGGUGGCGAAAGCGGCUCUCUGGUCUGUAACUGACGCUGAGGCUCGAAAGCGUGGGGAGCGAACAGGAUUAGAUACCCUGGUAGUCCACGCCGUAAACGAUGAGUGCUAGGUGUUGGAUCCUUUCCGGGAUUCAGUGCCGCAGCUAACGCAUUAAGCACUCCGCCUGGGGAGUACGACCGCAAGGUUGAAACUCAAAGGAAUUGACGGGGGCCCGCACAAGCGGUGGAGCAUGUGGUUUAAUUCGAAGCAACGCGAAGAACCUUACCAGGUCUUGACAUCCCGAUGCUAUUUCUAGAGAUAGAAAGUUACUUCGGUACAUCGGUGACAGGUGGUGCAUGGUUGUCGUCAGCUCGUGUCGUGAGAUGUUGGGUUAAGUCCCGCAACGAGCGCAACCCCUAUUGUUAGUUGCCAUCAUUCAGUUGGGCACUCUAGCGAGACUGCCGGUAAUAAACCGGAGGAAGGUGGGGAUGACGUCAAAUCAUCAUGCCCCUUAUGACCUGGGCUACACACGUGCUACAAUGGUUGGUACAACGAGUUGCGAGUCGGUGACGGCGAGCUAAUCUCUUAAAGCCAAUCUCAGUUCGGAUUGUAGGCUGCAACUCGCCUACAUGAAGUCGGAAUCGCUAGUAAUCGCGGAUCAGCACGCCGCGGUGAAUACGUUCCCGGGCCUUGUACACACCGCCCGUCACACCACGAGAGUUUGUAACACCCGAAGUCGGUGAGGUAACCUUUUGGAGCCAGCCGCCUAAGGUGGGACAGAUGAUUGGGUGAAG